AUGUCUUCUCUGGCGAGCUGGCCGCCGCUCUCCGUGCUGCCUGGCGGCAUUUCCCUGGCUCCAGCAUUGGUUAAGACUGACGGCGCCAAGUUACUUUGCAGCUGCAGGUCUACUGCCCGGGUCUCUUGCGCUGGGUCAUCCAACGGAAGUGUCGCCAAGGAAUCGGCAUACGGUAAGCAGCAGGCGUACGGAGAGGACGCUGCUGCGGAUAAGGAAGAGGGUGGUUCAGAAUGGAGCAAGGACGAGAUUGAAGCCAUCUCGGCGCUGUUUGCCCGGCCGAUGCGCCAGAAGCCAGUGAAGCCGCCGAACCCGGCGACGCAGCGGCCUCUCCCGCUGCCGCUGCCCCACAAGACGAGGCCGCCCGUCACACCGACACCGACGCAGCACAUCCGGCUGGCUUCGCGCUCCAUGUUCAGCGACAAGGUGCGCAAGAACCCCGAGGUCCUCGUCGGCAUUGCCAAGGAGAUCGCCGCGCUCCCGCCGGAGUCCGAUGUGUGCAAAGUGCUGGACCGUUGGGUCCCCUUCCUCCGGAAAGGCUCCCUGUCCAUGACCAUCCGGGAGCUCGGGCACAUGGGGCUUCCCGAGAGAGCUCUUCAGACACUGUGCUGGGCACAGGGGCAGAAGGCAGUGCCUCUGUUCCCUGAUGACCGGAUCCUCGCUUCGACCAUCGAGGUUUUGGCGCGCUUCGACGAGCUGAAGAUGGAGUCUGCGCUUGAGGAAUGCGUCCCCUCGGCGAGCCGCGCUGUCCUCGAAGCCAUGGCGAGGGGGUUCAUCAGGGCAGGCAAAGUAGGCCUGGCACGCAAGCUCCUUGAACUUGCCAGGAUGAACAAGAGGACACUGCACCCGAGCAUCUACGCAAAGCUGAUUCUGGAGGUUGCCCGGACACCUGAAGGCUAUGGGCUCGCUGCUGCACUGCUCGAUGAGCUCGGUGAGAGGCCAGACUUUGACCUGCGCCAGCAGGACUGCACAGCUGUCAUGAAGGUCUGCAUAAAGCUCAGGCGGUACGCAGCCGUGGAGAGCCUAUUCAGCUGGUUCAGAGGGUCUGGCGGGAACCCAACUGUUGUGAUGUACACCACAGUGAUCCACAGCCGCUCCCGUGAUGGGAGGCACCGAGAGGCGUUGGCCCUGGUUUGGGAAAUGGAACAGGCAAACUGUCUUCUUGACCUGCCGGCGUACCGGGUCAUCGUGAAGCUGUGUGUGGCAUUGCGUGAUCCAGAAAGGGCUUUUCGGUACCUGUCAAGGUUGAAGGACGCUGGAUUCGUUCCGACCAGUGACAUAUACUGUAAUUUGAUUGAAGGCUAUGCCGCAGCAGGGAGGAUGGCCAGGUGCCGGCAGCUGAUCAGGGAAGCUGAGUCAAUCGGCGUGUUGCUGGACAAGAGGCUAAUUUCAAGCUUGUCUGAGAUGGGUGAUAGACGUCCUUGA
rnacentral:rRNA from 1 species